UGAUGAGAGAACUUGAUUAGCUCUAGAUCAGGAGUCUACGGACGGUGACGGACAUAUCAUGUAUUAUCUGAUGA
rfam:Aspergillus calidoustus genome assembly, contig: SCAF8